UGUCGCGCUGACCUAGUAGGUGUGGCUGUUGCUCUUCUCUUCCUCCUCCUGCACUACCUGCUCUGCGCUGCUGCUGAUUAGACCUGAUGCGUGCUGCUCCGCCAGGUGAGCUGAAUUAGAGCAAUCAAGGGCGGGCGUGCCUAGUAAGCCUUAAAAUGCAUGCAGCAGUCAUUUGACCGGAGAGCGACAUACUGAGAGGACAGCAAACAAAGCAAUCCACUUGCCACUGUGAAGAAGACUUUGGACUAGAUGGGCUAUCGGUUUUUCACCCAUCUAUCUAUCCAGCAAAAGCUACCUAAGCAACUGGUCAAAAAUAAAUGGAGUGAAAUUCAAAGUCUGGUCUUUUUCAAGUGUAGGCUCCUCACAGGCAGAGAACACUUGACAGGCUCUGCUCAGGUCCCAACACGAGGGGGGGGGGAGGAGAGACAGGAUUUGUAGUGUGCUAGGACCAGCUGCUCUAAGCACUUUGUAAUGACGGUGGUGAGGGCUACUGGGCGGUAGUCGUUUUUUAGGCUUGAUGGGUUGGAGAAUUUUGAUGGUUUGGUAAAUUUUGGCAUGUCCUGAAAUUUGAUUUUCACCCAGGUGUCAUCCACAUACCAGAACCAUGACUUGGUGGUGUUCCUGUGUAGGAGAACUACCCAGGAACCAUGACAGUACUGGGUCUGAGACCCAGUUUUUUGUGUAUUUUUAUUUUGUUGAUUAUUGUAUUUUUCUCUGUUUCAUGUUUUAACCUAAAGGGGUCUGGUGUGUUUUUGUCAUUGUGUUUAGCUUCACUUUCCUGUGACAUCAUUAUGUUUAAUUUCAGUCAGCUGUAUCCCCAUAUGUUUACCUCCUGUGUAUUUAAGUCCUCUGUUUUCUGUGUUUCAUUGUCGGGUCGUCUGUUGUGCUGCCCCAUAGUCUCAUCAUAGCUUUUAUAGUUUGGUCACAGUUUCAUAGUUGUCAUAGCCUGUUCUCAGUUUAGUAGUAGAGCCAUAAUAAAGGCUCUCUUUUGGUUUAAGAUGAGUUCUGUCUCCUACAGUAUCUGCUUCUGGGUCCUGUCUCCAAACACAUCGGCUUAACCUGCCGUGACAGAUAACAAAGCCCGGUUUUCCACCUUCUCCAUGCACAAAUUGGCCACAAUGAGUGAAACUGGGGAACCCAUGGCACACCCAUGUUUCUGCCUGUAGUACUGACCCUUAUGCAAAAUAGGUGGAAUUAAGACACAGUUCCAAAAGCAAACACAAUUGAUCUGUGCUGAGAGCGCUCCUGUUGCUGAGGUUAGGGUGAUCCUAUAAUCUCUUACAAACUACCUCCAACGCUUCUGUGACUGGGAUGAAAGUGAAGACAGAUGUAACAUCUCUCUUCACUCUACAUGUCCUGUUUAUAAGGUUUGGGAAACCCGCUGUCAGCUGAGACUGAAGAAGUCACCUGGAUGAGUGACGAGAAUUUUCUCCCACUGAAAGUGUCCAGAUGAGCAGAAUCAACCUUUUGGGUUUUGCUUGCCUGGAUGAUUAAGCACGCAUCAGGACAUUAUUUUAUUAAUAUUUUUAAAAUGAUAGCAGCACAAACACAAAUUUUUGCAGCAUGAACGUAGCACAAACGUUUGACAUCAAUUUUGUUUGAUUCCGUUAAUGUGGGGGGCUGGUUGACCUCUGAUGACCUCUAGAAAUUUUUAUUAAUAUCUUUAAAAUGAAAGCAGCACAAACGAAAAUUUUUGCAGCACAAACCAGCACAAACGUUUGAUACCACUUUUGUUAGAUUUGAAGGUGGGGGGCCAACUUCACUCACAUGUGUUUCCUGGGUGAGAG
ensembl:lncRNA